UGGGGAAUAUUGCGCAAUGGGGGGAACCCUGACGCAGCCAUGCCGCGUGAAUGAAGAAGGCCUUCGGGUUGUAAAGUUCUUUCGGUAUUGAGGAAGGUUGAUGUGUUAAUAGCACAUCAAAUUGACGUUAAAUACAGAAGAAGCACCGGCUAACUCCGUGCCAGCAGCCGCGGUAAUACGGAGGGUGCGAGCGUUAAUCGGAAUAACUGGGCGUAAAGGGCACGCAGGCGGUUAUUUAACUGAGGUGUGAAAGCCCUGGGCUUAACCUAGGAAUUGCAUUUCAGACUGGGUAACUAGAGUACUUUAGGGAGGGGUAGAAUUCCACGUGUAGCGGUGAAAUGCGUAGAGAUGUGGAGGAAUACCGAAGGCGAAGGCAGCCCCUUGGGAAUGUACUGACGCUCAUGUGCGAAAGCGUGGGGAGCAAACAGGAUUAGAUACCCUGGUAGUCCACGCUGUAAACGCUGUCGAUUUGGGGGUUGGGGUUUAACUCUGGCGCCCGUAGCUAACGUGAUAAAUCGACCGCCUGGGGAGUACGGCCGCAAGGUUA
rnacentral:rRNA from 1 species